ensembl:lncRNA
GAGCUUUUAACCCCAAAUGAACCUAAUAACUUAUAACACAAAGAGUGAUGCUUAAUGGCCAUAAAAAUGGACAAAUCUUGAAAUUAUGGUUUAAAAUUCACUGCCACUGGCUGCCUUUUAGCAACAAUGAUCUCCUAAUGGAAAUGACACUCAAGAGCUGCACACAUUCAUCAGCUUAUCUUAUCUAGAAAUCAUUUGGUGAAUGCACAGGAAAUGGUUAAAUCUUUGAAAACAGAACUUCAGCACGUUUGCACUAAACAAACAAAUGCUAGCGACAGACAUGAAAAGCCUUAAGAAUGUCUGAACAUGCAAGAUACUGCUCAGCCUUCUGCUUUAUCUUCACCAUUGUGUCUGUGCAAUCAGUCAAGUGUCCCCAACUAAUCAAGCCAAAGGUGACAGAGGCAAGGAACCAAAACUUCAGUCAAGGGACUGUUUGUUGGUGACGCAUGUAAAGGCACAAGACUCUUCCAGUGAUGAAACAGAAAUCAAAUAUGCCGUCAUAGGAGCAGGAAUUGGCCUUUUCUUUUCCAUCUGCUUUCUGCUAAUCAAAAUGUACAUCAUCAAAAAGCAGGUGCAUGAUAAUGAAUUCUCAGGUAAGUGUUUUCCUAUAAAUCUGAUUUAAAAAAUGAACAAUCUUAGAUUUAAUCAAAUCAAACAAAAUCUUCAUUAUUUUUAACACUUGGAUAUUUUUAAAGACACAACACCAAGAAGAGCAUCUCCACGGUAAGAACAUUUUUAUAUGCAAAUUACACUUUCCUAUAUCACUAUAAUCAUUAUAUAGUCUAUAUAGUUAUAAAACAUUUGAUUGAUUUGAAUGUGAAUCUCAUAAAAUGAUGACCUCUGUUUUUAAGGAUCAUUGAUGUGGAGAGCAGGAGGGAAUGAAAUGUCUUCUGAGGAUUAAUUAUUACAGUUCUUUGUCAUUCUAUGGCAAUUUGAUACUUUUAUUUAUUAAAUGGUGACCAGUUUAGGCCUAUAAAACAAAUGAUUGUAAAAUCAGCAGAUCAGUGCCAUUGCUGUGCCUUCAUGAGGUCAUUUUGUGCUUUUUGACCCAUACCUGCUUAAAUGUGAAUAAUAUAUAUACUGUAUUUGGAGCUAUAUAUUCAUUAAUUGUAACAUAAAAAAAAUACUGUUUGUAUCAAGAGCAUAAAAGAUUUAAACCAGCUUGUCUUUUCAUUUAGAAUCCAUUUGUUGUCUUUGAUCAUGUUUAGCAACAAUGAUCUCCUAAUGGAAAUGACACUCAAGAGCUGCACACAUUCAUCAGCUUAUCUUAUCUAGAAAUCAUUUGGUGAAUGCACAGGAAAUGGUUAAAUCUUUGAAAACAGAACUUCAGCACGUUUGCACUAAACAAACAAAUGCUAGCGACAGACAUGAAAAGCCUUAAGAAUGUCUGAACAUGCAAGAUACUGCUCAGCCUUCUGCUUUAUCUUCACCAUUGGUAUGUCAUUUUUAUAAUUUAUGGAAGCAGGGAUACCACAUUUAUUUUCAUUGGUAUUUAAAAAUGUGACAUCAAAUAUAAAAUGAUUAUUAUUAUUAUUAUUAUUUAUUAUUAU